rnacentral:tRNA from 1 species
GGCGCUAUAGUGGAAUUGGAUUAUCACGCUACCCUUUCAAGGUAGAGACUGCGGGUUCGAUCCCCGCUAGCGUCA